CACUUUGUGCAGUGGCAGUAUCAGAGCAAAUGAGGUUUAUCACAGGUGCGAGGUGCGAGUGUUGCUAAUUUUCCCAAUACCUCACCAUGAUGACUUGGUAUAUAGUCAGCACUGGCAAUUUUUGACAGUCUCCAUGGAGA